rnacentral:lncRNA from 1 species
CGAGAAUAGAGACGCUGCUGUUUUUAAUACCGUUAUAAUUAAUUUAAUGGUAAUUUUUUAAAUUAAAUUAAUCUUUAAGGAGUGUCAUGGUUUGUUUGUCGACAGGAUUUUCUUUUCUUUUUUUUAAGUUUCGUGCAGUGUUCAUUGUUAAGUGGCUUCUCUGUAUUAUUAAUGAAACGUGUAGAGAUGAUUUCUUUACACAAUAUUAUCGAUGUCUUCUUGUUGGCGACACAGCACGACUACAGUCGUUUGCGUUGGCAUUGAGGCGCCAGAAAUCUUAUUUGGCGUUUUGACUCGGCGUGGCUUCUUACAACGAAUUAAUUGUUAGAAAUUAAACGUCGCUUUGGUUAAAUUUUUUAAAACAUUUUUCUAAUAAUUAAAAAAUCUGUUUGAAGCCGUUGAUGCGCUCUGUUUCAGUAAUUUUUCAUUUGAGCCAGACGAAUAACAUUUUUGUUUGUUGUCGGAGC